GGGCUUCGGCCUGGUGGCGAGUGGCGAACGGGUGAGUAAUGCGUCGGAACGUGCCGAGUAAUGGGGGAUAACGCAUCGAAAGGUGUGCUAAUACCGCAUACGCUCUGAGGAGGAAAGCGGGGGACCUUCGGGCCUCGCGUUAUUCGAGCGGCCGACGUCUGAUUAGCUAGUUGGUGGGUAAAGGCUCACCAAGGCGACGAUCAGUAGCGGGUCUGAGAGGAUGAUCCGCCACACUGGGACUGAGACACGGCCCAGACUCCUACGGGAGGCAGCAGUGGGGAAUUUUGGACAAUGGGCGAAAGCCUGAUCCAGCCAUGCCGCGUGAGUGAAGAAGGCCUUCGGGUUGUAAAGCUCUUUUGUCCGGGAGGAAAUCCCGCAACCUAAUACGUUGCGGGGAUGACAGUACUGGAAGAAUAAGCACCGGCUAACUACGUGCCAGCAGCCGCGGUAAUACGUAGGGUGCAAGCGUUAAUCGGAAUUACUGGGCGUAAAGCGUGCGCAGGCGGUUUGAUAAGUCAGAUGUGAAAUCCCCGGGCUUAACCUGGGAACUGCGUUUGAAACUGUCAGGCUAGAGUACGUCAGAGGGGGGUGGAAUUCCACGUGUAGCAGUGAAAUGCGUAGAGAUGUGGAGGAACACCGAUGGCGA
rnacentral:rRNA from 1 species